rnacentral:rRNA from 2 species
GCUAUACAUGCAAGUCGAACGCGUUGGCCCAAUUGAUUGAUGGUGCUUGCACCUGAUUGAUUUUGGUCGCCAACGAGUGGCGGACGGGUGAGUAACACGUAGGUAACCUGCCCAGAAGCGGGGGACAACAUUUGGAAACAGAUGCUAAUACCGCAUAACAACGUUGUUCGCAUGAACAACGCUUAAAAGAUGGCUUCUCGCUAUCACUUCUGGAUGGACCUGCGGUGCAUUAGCUUGUUGGUGGGGUAACGGCCUACCAAGGCGAUGAUGCAUAGCCGAGUUGAGAGACUGAUCGGCCACAAUGGGACUGAGACACGGCCCAUACUCCUACGGGAGGCAGCAGUAGGGAAUCUUCCACAAUGGGCGCAAGCCUGAUGGAGCAACACCGCGUGAGUGAAGAAGGGUUUCGGCUCGUAAAGCUCUGUUGUUAAAGAAGAACACGUAUGAGAGUAACUGUUCAUACGUUGACGGUAUUUAACCAGAAAGUCACGGCUAACUACGUGCCAGCAGCCGCGGUAAUACGUAGGUGGCAAGCGUUAUCCGGAUUUAUUGGGCGUAAAGAGAGUGCAGGCGGUUUUCUAAGUCUGAUGUGAAAGCCUUCGGCUUAACCGGAGAAGUGCAUCGGAAACUGGAUAACUUGAGUGCAGAAGAGGGUAGUGGAACUCCAUGUGUAGCGGUGGAAUGCGUAGAUAUAUGGAAGAACACCAGUGGCGAAAGCGGCUACCUGGUCUGCAACUGACGCUGAGACUCGAAAGCAUGGGUAGCGAACAGGAUUAGAUACCCUGGUAGUCCAUGCCGUAAACGAUGAGUGCUAGGUGUUGGAGGGUUUCCGCCCUUCAGUGCCGGAGCUAACGCAUUAAGGCACUCCGCCUGGGGAGUACGACCGCACGGUUGAAACUCAACGGAAUUGACGGGGGCCCGCACAAGCGGUGGAGCAUGUGGUUUAAUUCGAAGCUACGCGAAGAACCUUACCAGGUCUUGACAUCUUGCGGCCACCCUAGAGAUAGGGCCGUUCAUCAGGGAACGCAAUGACAGGUGGUGCAUGGUCGUC